UCCACUCUUCCUCUCAAUAAUUCUCCACCAGCGCCAGAUCCAACCCUAGCCGCUUCCCUUCAUUCCUCCUCAGCGCCGCCACCCUCACUUCUUUUCCUUUCAGCCAAACCAGAUAACGUGAGGAGUUUCAGAAAGUUCAGACAAAUAUCCAGUUAAACAUCGCCAGAGAAAUCGCCUACAGCGUCGCCGGUUUCCGCCGCCGUUCGCCGAGCUGAGCACCAGGGUGGAGUUCCCUGGCCUCCUUUUCCUCCUCGUUGAGUCCUCGGAGCAGGAGCAGCUCCGUGCAGCGUUUUCGUCUUCGUCUUCUCCGGUGCCGUAUGUGCGCACCAUCGAUGUCCGCUUCACCAUGCCGUUGUCCCGGACCACUUUGUGCUCUCCGGCUUCGCCAUCGACCUCCUGGUGGUCACCGCCGCGCUCAUCUGUUUUCCCCGGCGUCGUCUCGCGUCCCCGGGCAGUUCCUCUUCACCAUCGAGCCCCUGGCAUUUGCUUCUUCCCGGAUAGGAUCGCGAAGUGGUGUGGUGAGAUACG